GCAUAAUAAUUUGUUCAUUAAUUGUGGACUAGAAUAAACGGGUAAACGAAAUAAUUACUGUCUCUUUUAUACUUCUUAAAAUUAAUAUUUAUGUGAAGAAGCAUAAAUAAGAUCGCAGGACAAGAAGACCCUAUAGAGCUUCAUCAUACUACAUCUUAUAUGAACAUAUGAUUCGGUUGGGGCGACCUAGGAGAAAUAUCAUCCUUCUUAUGAUAGACAAAUAAGUCAUACAAACGAUCCAUAACUGAUCUAAAGAACAAGCUACCUUAGGGAUAACAGGCUAAUCUCACUAAAGAGUUCUUAUCAUCAGUGAGGA
rnacentral:rRNA from 1 species